rnacentral:rRNA from 1 species
UACGGAGGGGGCGAGCGUUAUUCGGAAUUAUUGGGCGUAAAGGGCGCGCAGGCGGCUGUACAAGUCAAAGGUGAAAUCCCUCGGCUCAACUGAGGAACUGCCUUUGAAACUGUACGGCUUGAGGCCGGGAGGGGGUAGCGGAAUUCCCAGUGUAGCGGUGAAAUGCGUAGAUAUCAGGAGGAACACCUGCGGUGUAGACGGCUUACUGGACGGUAACUGACGCUGAGGCACGAAAGCGUGGGGAGCAAACAGG